GACGAACCGUGCUAACGUUAUUCGGAAUCACUGGGCUUAAAGGGCGCGUAGGCGGUCUGCCAAGUCAGGGGUGAAAUCCUUCGGCUUAACCGGAGAAGUGCCUUUGAUACUGGCGGACUUGAGGGAGGUAGGGGCAGAUGGAACUGGUGGUGGAGCGGUGAAAUGUGUAGAUAUCACUAGGAACGCCGGUGGCGAAAGCGAUCUGCUGGAUCUCUACUGACGCUGAGGCGCGAAAGCCAGGGGAGCAAACGGG
rnacentral:rRNA from 1 species